rnacentral:rRNA from 1 species
UUAAUGGCCGCGGUAUUUUGACCGUGCAAAGGUAGCAUAAUCAUUAGUUUUUUAAUUGAUAACUUGUAUGAAUGGUUUGACGAAGCAUUAACUGUCUCUCUUUUAUUUAUAGAAAUUAAAUUUUAAGUUAAAAUGCUUAAAUUUAAUUAUUGGACGAGAAGACCCUAUAGAUCUUUAUUUUUAAUUUUAAUUAUUAUUUUUGGAUUAUGUUUGUUAAUUUUUUUAUUUAUUUUGUUGGGGUGACAUGAAGAUAUAUUUAACUCUUUAUAUUUGUAUACAUUUAUUUUUGGAUAUUUGACCUUUAUUUUUUGUUAAAAGAUUUAGAUACCUUAGGGAUAACAGCGUAAUUUUUUUUAAGAGUUCUUAUUGACAAAGAAGAUUGCGACCUCGAUGUUGGAUUAAGAUUAAUUCUAGGUGUAGUGGCUUAUGAUUUUGGGUCUGUUCGACCUUUAAAUUCUUACAUGAUCUGAGUC